CCAGACUCCUACGGGAGGCAGCAGUGAGGAAUAUUGGUCAAUGGCCGGAAGGCUGAACCAGUCAAGCCGCGUGAAGGACGAAGGUGCCAAGCAUUGUAAACUUCUUUUGUCAAGGGACAAAAUCAGGCUCGAGAGCCUGACCGAGGGUACUUGAAGAAAAAGCAUCGGCUAACUCCGUGCCAGCAGCCGCGGUAAUACGGAGGAUGCGAGCGUUAUCCGGAUUUAUUGGGUUUAAAGGGUGCGUAGGCGGACUGUUAGGUCAGGGGGAACGCCGGGGGCCACACCCCCGGCGAGCCGUUGAAACUGGCUGUCUUGAGAUGUCGAGAGGUAUGCGGAGUGCGCAGUGUAGCGGUGAAAUGCUUAGAUAUUGCGCAGAACUCCGAUUGCGAAGGCAGCAUACCGGCGGCGAUCUGACGCUGAGGCACGAAAGCGUGGGUAUCGAACAGGAUUAGAUACCCCUGUA
rnacentral:rRNA from 1 species